GACGAACGCUGGCGGCGUGCUUAACACAUGCAAGUCGAGCGAUGAAGCUCCUUCGGGAGCGGAUUAGCGGCGGACGGGUGAGUAACACGUGGGUAACCUGCCUCAUAGAGGGGAAUAGCCUUCCGAAAGGAAGAUUAAUACCGCAUAAGAUUGUAGUACCGCAUGGUACAGCAAUUAAAGGAGUAAUCUGCUAUGAGAUGGACCCGCGUCGCAUUAGCUAGUUGGUGAGGUAACGGCUCACCAAGGCGACGAUGCGUAGCCGACCUGAGAGGGUGAUCGGCCACAGUGGGACUGAGACACGGCCCAGACUCCUACGGGAGGCAGCAGUGGGGAAUAUUGCACAAUGGGGGAAACCCUGAUGCAGCAACGCCGCGUGAGUGAUGACGGUCUUCGGAUUGUAAAGCUCUGUCUUCAGGGACGAUAAUGACGGUACCUGAGGAGGAAGCCACGGCUAACUACGUGCCAGCAGCCGCAGUAACAC
rnacentral:rRNA from 1 species